rnacentral:rRNA from 1 species
AGGUUUUGCAAAUGAGGAUGCAAGCAGAGUGGGUUUAACCAUGGAGGAAACUCCAUAGUUAAGUGCGCUCGAGUUGGAGUAGUACUGGGAUGGGUGACCUCCCGGGAAGUCCCGGUGCUUCACCUC